UCAACUUCUAGUAAUCAAGUUCUUAUGCAUGCAUAUUGGCGUUAUGAUAAUAAUAGGCGAAUUAAUUAAUUUGAUUGUUCGUAUGCAGGUUGUGUCAGCAAAGACUGCUCUUUCUGAGGAGAUCAAAGCUGAGGAGCCAGUCAAGGCUGAAGAAACUAAAACAACUGAGGAGCCAGUCAAGGCUGAAGAAACUAAAACAGCUGAUGAGCCAGUCAAGACUGAAGAAACUAAAACAGAGGAGGUAGUUGCUUCAGCUUCUGCAGCACCUGUGGCACCAGAACCCGUUGCUGAAGAGCCACCAGCAGCAAAGGAAGCAGAACCUGUUGCUGUAACUGAAGAAGCUGCGGUGGUUACUCCAGAAGCUGAAGCCCCAGCUGAAGUUGAGACAAAGGAGGUGGUAGCCGAAGAUCAGCCAGCAGCAGCGGAGAAGACUACCGCAGAGAAAACUGAAGAAGUGGAAACUACUCCAACGGAGACACCAGAGCCAGCUGCUGAGAAAGAGGCCAAGGAAGAAGAGAAGAAGCCCGAGGCAGAAGUUGAAGCUGCAAAGGAGGAAGUGAAAGAUGAAGAGAAACCUGCAGUUGAGAAGCCAGCUGAAGCUGAGAAGAAAGCUGACACUGAUGGAGCCCCAG
rnacentral:lncRNA from 1 species